rnacentral:rRNA from 1 species
UAGUAGGUGGGGUAACGGCUCACCUAGGCGACGAUCCCUAGCUGGUCUGAGAGGAUGACCAGCCACACUGGAACUGAGACACGGUCCAGACUCCUACGGGAGGCAGCAGUGGGGAAUAUUGCACAAUGGGCGCAAGCCUGAUGCAGCCAUGCCGCGUGUAUGAAGAAGGCCUUCGGGUUGUAAAGUACUUUCAGCGGGGAGGAAGGGGAAGUGGUUAAUAACCAUUUUCAUUGACGUUACCCGCAGAAGAAGCACCGGCUAACUCCGUGCCAGCAGCCGCGGUAAUACGGAGGGUGCAAGCGUUAAUCGGAAUUACUGGGCGUAAAGCGCACGCAGGCGGUCUGUCAAGUCGGAUGUGAAAUCCCCGGGCUCAACCUGGGAACUGCAUCCGAAACUGGCAGGCUUGAGUCUUGUAGAGGGGGGUAGAAUUCCAGGUGUAGCGGUGAAAUGCGUAGAGAUCUGGAGGAAUACCGGUGGCGAAGGCGGCCCCCUGGACAAAGACUGACGCUCAGGU